rnacentral:rRNA from 1 species
AUUGAACGCUGGCGGCAGGCCUAACACAUGCAAGUCGAACGAGUGGCAAACGGGUGAGGAAUGUCGGGGAAACUGCCUGAUGAAGGGGGAUAACUACUGGAAACGGUAGCUAAUACCGCAUACCAUCGGAUGUGCCCAGAUGGGAUUAGCUAGUAGGUGGGGUAAAGGCUCACCUAGGCGACGAUCACUAGCUGGUCUGCGAGUAUGACCGGCCACACGGGAAUGGAGAAACGGUCCAGACUCCUACGGGAGGCAGCAGUGGGGAAUAUUGCACAAUGGGCGCAAGCCUGAUGCAGCCAGGCCGCGUGUAUGAAGAAGGCCUUCGGGUUGUAAAGUACUUUCAGCGGGGAGGCGUUACCCGCAGAAGAAGCACCGGCUAACUCCGUGCCAGCAGCCGCGGUAAUAC